rnacentral:rRNA from 1 species
UACGUAGGGACCGAGCGUUGUCCGGAUUCAUUGGGCGUAAAGAGCUCGUAGGCGGCCACUCAAGUCGAAUGUGAAACCUCGAGGCUUAACCUCGAGCCUGCAUUCGAUACUGGGCGGCUAGAGUCUGGUAGGGGAGACUGGAAUUCCUGGUGUAGCGGUGAAAUGCGCAGAUAUCAGGAGGAACACCGGUGGCGAAGGCGGCAUCCUGGACCAACACUGACGCUGAGGAGCGAAAGCCAGGGGAGCAAACGGG